ACAAGCGGUGGAGCAUGUGGUUUAAUUCGAAGCAACGCGAAGAACCUUACCAGGUCUUGACAUCCCUGACAACCGAGAGAUCGGCGUUCCCCUUCGGGGGACAGGGUGGACAGGUGUGCAUGGUUGUCGGUCAGCUCGUGUCGUGAGAUGUUGGGUUAAGUCCCGCAACGAGCGCAACCCUCGACCUUAGUUGCCAGCAUUCAGUUGGGCACUCUAAGGUGACUGCCGGCUAAAAGUCGGAGGAAGGUGGGGAUGACGUCAAAUCAUCAUGCCCCUUAUGACCUGGGCUACAAACGUGAUACAAUGGCUGGAACAAAGGGAGGCGAAGGGGUGACCUGGAGCGAAACCCAAAAAUACAGUCUCAGUUCGGAUUGAAGUCUGCAACUCGACUUCAUGAAGUCGGAAUCGCUAGUAAUCGCGGAUCAGAACGCCGCGGUGAAUACGUUCUCGGGGUUU
rnacentral:rRNA from 1 species